GAGAGCAUAGUUCAGUGGUAGAGUGUGUGCUUAGCAUGCAUGAGGUCCUGGGUUCAAUCCCCAAUACCUCCA
rnacentral:tRNA from 1 species